rnacentral:rRNA from 1 species
AACAUCGGUCCAAUCCUUAAAGUCAUCCUCAGUUCGGACUGGGGCCUGCAACCCGACCCCACGAAGCUGGAUUCGCUAGUAAUCGCGCAUCAGCCAUGGCGCGGUGAAUACGUUCCCGGGCCCUGUACACACCGCCCGUCAAGCCAUGAAAGCCGGGGGCGCCUGAAGUCCGUGACCGCGAGGGUCGGCCUAGGGUGAAACCGGUGAUUGGGGCUAAGUCGUAACAAGGUAUC